GGCUUAGUAUGGCAUAAUUCCAAAGUCAGCUUGCCAACUGAAAUCCAUGUGUGUAUAGAAAGGUUUUCCUAGCGGCUUCCAAUACCAUCUGAAUAAACCGGAUGUGUCUUGGGUUGUUAUCAGGGAAGAUAUAUAGCUCUGGGGACAGUGGCACAGAGAAAUGUAGGCUGCCUCUAGAUAUGCUCGUACCUCCCCCAAAACACACGUGGACAACCUCAAAAGUAGUUCAGCAAGUCGAGUCCACCUAAGCAGUUUGAGGUCGACAGUUUCAUUCCAUAAUUUGGCGUCAGGUAAGCAGGCACUAGUGCUGUCCACCGGUGCAUCUCCUGGUAUAAAAGGACUAAAAUGAGUUUGGGUAAUUUAUUCGUAACUGAGAUAAUGUCAUCAUAGGUCCACGGCGAUGGGGCUUAGAUAUGCAUUAUGAUUUCCGCAUGGCCAUAAUGUUUUAAUAAUGUCAAAAACAUAAAAGCAAGUGUUAUAA